GCUAUUUUGUCGCCCUUGCCGUCUGCUGCCGUGAUUGCAAGCGUCCCCUUCAAGAUUCCAUGGUAUCCUCAAGCGAAAUACUUGGGAACCAUGCUCGAAAACCAAAGCUGUUAGUGCCAGGGUGAUACCUACACUUUUUGAAUGUAGCCUGAGCACUUCGCUAUAAAUGAAAAUUAAAAGAACUAAAAUUUGCGCUUAUCUUUGAAUGACGAGCUGAAAUCUGUUCGUCUUAAAAAUGUAACUGAUGUUUCUCCUUAUUGCGCCAGCUGUCGAGGUAGUUCUUAUCACUCAACUAAUUCUCACUUAUGCAGGCAUAUGUUUGCAUCCUUAAGUAAUAUCUUUUCAGUUAGUAUUUUAAUAAGCCAAGAAGAAGAGUUGCACAUCUAUAUUUAAUAAGGAAACGACAAGUUCCG